CCUACGGGAGGCUGCAGUGGGGGAUAUUGCACAAUGGGGGGAACCCUGAUGCAGCGACGCCGCGUGAGUGAAGAAGGGUUUCGGCUCGUAAAGCUCUGUUGGUAGUGAAGAAAGAUAGAGGUAGUAACUGGCCUUUAUUUGACGGUAAUUACUUAGAAAGUCACGGCUAACUACGUGCCAGCAGCCGCGGUAAUACGUAGGUGGCAAGCGUUGUCCGGAUUUAUUGGGCGUAAAGCGAGUGCAGGCGGUUCAAUAAGUCUGAUGUGAAAGCCUUCGGCUCAACCGGAGAAUUGCAUCAGAAACUGGUGAACUUGAGUGCAGAAGAGGAGAGUGGAAUUCCAUGUGUAGCGGUGGAAUGCGUAGAUAUAUGGAAGAACACCAGUGGCGAAGGCGGCUAUCUGGUCUGCAACUGACGCUGAGGCUCGAAAGCAUGGGUAGCGAACAGGAUUAGAUACCCCAGUAGUC
rnacentral:rRNA from 1 species